UCUGAACCUUCGGGGAACGAUAACGGCGUCGAGCGGCGGACGGGUGAGUAAUGCCUAGGAAAUUGCCCUGAUGUGGGGGAUAACCAUUGGAAAUGAUGGCUAAUACCGCAUGAUGCCUACGGGCCAAAGAGGGGGACCUUCGGGCCUCUCGCGUCAGGAUAUGCCUAGGUGGGAUUAGCUAGUUGGUGAGGUAAUGGCUCACCAAGGCGACGAUCCCUAGCUGGUCUGAGAGGAUGAUCAGCCACACUGGAACUGAGACACGGUCCAGACUCCUACGGGAGGCAGCAGUGGGGAAUAUUGCACAAUGGGCGCAAGCCUGAUGCAGCCAUGCCGCGUGUGUGAAGAAGGCCUUCGGGUUGUAAAGCACUUUCAGUCGUGAGGAAGGUAGUGUAGUUAAUACCUGCAUUAUUUGACGUUAGCGACAGAAGAAGCACCGGCUAACUCCGUGCCAGCAGCCGCGGUAAUACGGAGG
rnacentral:rRNA from 1 species